CGUAAUUUCGCAGCGACGUCGCCGUUUUAACCGACGUCUUCAACGUCAUGUCAACUGACACCGCGUAUGAAGUCUCGGUGAAGUUGAAAUAAAAACGAAAUUGCCGAUAGGCGCGAGUGAAUAGAUUUUUUUUUGAAAAUUAGUUUUAAUGCGUGCUGUUUGUCAGCCGACGGAGGAGGCGCGUGAUUGUCAUCAGAGGAUGGGGCAAAUUCGAGAUAACAGAGCCCUCGAUCCUCGUGGGAUGCUGAACACCUCGUGACAACACUAUACGCAAGAAUAACAAAAUGAUAUAGGGUAACGAGUACUCAGUCUAUUACUCGAGAAAGCGAGAAGACAUCUAAGAAAAUAUUUCUCCAGCAAAAGAGACGACGAAAAUUUCCUCCCAACACCUCCCCAAAUCAACACUCACCAUCUGUAUAAUCAUUUUAUUAAAAUCAUGUUCAAUUAUCAUCUACCCGUGUAUGUACAAGUUCUCGGAAUGAUUAUAAAAUUAAGUACCGUUAUUAUAAAAAAUUAAUCUCUCGUACGAAUUAUUGUUCCAUGGGCUCAACAUUAAAGUACAUUCUCACAAAUAAAAUUUGUGUAGCCACUCACUGGGUGAAUUGUUUCACCAAUGGCACUUGAAAAUUCAACAAGAAACUCAAUUUAUCCCCCAAAUAUUUAAAACCACAAGAAUCCCCAGGAAAAAAUCAUUCGAGUGACAAAUUCAUCGCACAAGAAUUAGCCAUUAAAUUUUUAUCGCGAAUAAAAAAUAAUUUUAAUCCACAAAUAAAAAAUAUCUCGAAUGAUUUUUUCCCUCAAAAGAAUAUCCGUGGCUCUUUUGCUCUUAUUUAAUAUAUCAUAUUAAAUAUAUUCAGUACAUAUCUAUUAAUUCGCUUAUAAAAUCGUAAAGAAUACGAAUCGAAAUCUUAUUUUCAAUAAAUCGAGUAUAAUUCAAGUUCGAUGUUUAAAAUAUUGAAUUCCUUGAGAUUCGAUGGACAUCCGCCAUUUACGUAUACAAUUCAGCGAGGUAUAACUCGAUGCAAAACCCCCAAUGAGAAUAUAUCCCCAAUGUACCAUCAAUAUUACGAAAAAAUAUUAAUAUACUCCAAUAAUCGAAUGAUUCCAAGGCGUUUGCAUUGAGCCAUGAUAUAUCGUUAAAUAAAUUAAGUGUAAAUCUAUCGGACGUUAAAACUCAUCCGUCGCGUGAUAUUAAAUAUAUAUAUAUCAAUAUUUGGCUCUACUUAUCCAUAAACUCUACGAGUACUAGAUAUUCUGUACAGCUCGAUUAAUCGAACCUGUAAUUAACGACCAGUUGAUUAAAAAUUCAUUAGAACAAUUCAAUUCAAUGACUGAAACACUUUGAAUACUGAGAACAAUUAAUAUUAUCAAUUGUCGAUAUUUGUUCGAUCGAGUGGAUUAAAAAAUUCAAUGGGUUUCAAUAAAUAAAGUGAUUGACAUGAUUAGAUCAAAAUUGUACGA